CCCUUAGAUGUUCUGGGCUGCACGCGCGCUACACUGAAGCUAUCAACACGUUUUCCCUCCCUGAGAAGGGCGGGUAACCUUUUGAAUCAGCUUCGUGGUAGGGAUCGGGGCUUGCAAUUGUUCCCCGUGAACCAGGAAUUCCUAGUAGACGCGAGUCAUAAGCUCGCAUCGAUUAAGUCCCUGCCCUUUGUACACACCGCCCGUCGCUACUACCGAUUGAACGUUUUAGUGAGGCAUUUGGACCGACGCAUCUCAGUUUAACCGCUGGUUUGGGUUGGAAAGACUUCCAAACUUGAGCGUUUAGAGGAAGUAAAAGUCGUAACA
rnacentral:rRNA from 1 species